CAACACUUCAGACGGAGUCAAAGACAGACUACCUACUGGUGAGAGCUACAGCGGUCUUGUCUUGUUUUAAGGUCUUACCCAUCGUUCAUAAUGUCCAAAACAGUUUUGAUCGUGCUGGUUGCCAUGCUGUUGGUGGCGACUUCAAUGGCGUCUCCAGUGAGAAAUAAACGGUUCUUCCAGUGCUCCGUGGACCCGAAUUGCGGCGUCCAUGUUGGCGUUCAAGCCGGCCCGAGCGGUCAAGUCCUCACCUGCUGGUGCGCGAAUCCACAAACCAACAUGAAGUGCUGCGUUGACGUCAACUGGGGAUAAAUAUUCAGACGAUUUCUUCUA